UACGGGGGGGGCAAGCGUUGUUCGGAAUUACUGGGCGUAAAGGGCUCGUAGGCGGCCAACUAAGUCAGACGUGAAAUCCCUCGGCUUAACCGGGGAACUGCGUCUGAUACUGGAUGGCUUGAGAUUGGGAGAGGGAUGCGGAAUUCCAGGUGUAGCGGUGAAAUGCAUAGAUAUCUGGAGGAACACCGGUGGCGAAGGCGGCAUCCUGGACCAACACUGACGCUGAGGAGCGAAAGCCAGGGGAGCAAACGGG
rnacentral:rRNA from 1 species